UACGGAGGGUGCAAGCGUUGUCCGGAAUCACUGGGCUUAAAGGGCGCGUAGGCGGGCUGUCAAGUCUGGGGUGAAAUGCCGCGGCUCAACCGUGGAACUGCCUUAGAUACUGACGGCCUCGAGGAAGGUAGGGGCAUGCGGAACUGUAGGUGGAGCGGUGAAAUGCGUUGAUAUCUACAGGAACUCCGGUGGCGAAAGCGGCGUGCUGGACCUUUUCUGACGCUGAGGCGCGAAAGCUAGGGGAGCAAACGGG
rnacentral:rRNA from 1 species